AGGCUGGAUAUUGCGCCUCCGACACUCUAUAUAGAGGAGGUCAGGUUCGCCUGACUAUGAUCGUAGAGGCAGAGUGUAAUAGGCGUUUAGGACGCGGGUUCGAUUCCCGCCGCCUCCACCACGAACGCAUCGGCCGUCCGGGUAUCUCGGAACGGCUUUGGGCAACCGGUUUAUCGUUGAGGCUGUGUUGCUGUUCCGGUGUGUUUUUGAUGGGGGCGAUCUGGGUUCGACUGGGCGCAAUAAAGGCUAGGCUGCGAUUAGGCUGAGCUACGGCCUCAACAGUGCAAACUCAUAAAUGCCAACGACAACGUUGACAUGGGUGCGGUGCGCCUCGCGGCGUAACCAUCCGGGGCUCGGGAAAGCCUAGCAACAGAAACGGCACCUU
rnacentral:tmRNA from 1 species